UCUGAGAUGCAUUAGUAAUUGGUUUGUGCCAAAACCAAUGCAAUAAUAAUUGCAAAAUUGUUUUAUAUAAAUAUAAAUGAAGUAAAUACUGAAUCCAAACAACACCAAGUUUAACACAGUCAUAUUUCUUGUCUUCAUUUUCUUAAACAGGAUAUUUUCUCGCAGAAAAAGAAAGGAUAAUAAAAGGUUUCCUUUCUCCAAACUUUUAAAGAACAAAUAAAGAAAUCCAAUUUCA